GCCCAGGCAGGGUGUGCACCAGGGCCCGAGGAGGGGGACAGAACAGAGCCCAGGCUCCCUCCUGCCCCUGCACUCACCAGCCAUCGCCCCAGCCCGAGGCUCCGCUCAGCCUGCACCGUUCACCAGGAACUCUGACAAUGAGCACCGGGAACAGAGGGCCCAGGGAAUAAAUGACACCUGCCAACCCCUGUGAUUUCACUGCAAGUCUCAUGAUAUUUGGUGUUACUUCUGGAGUCCCCUCAACGCAUCAACGUCCUGGCUGCCCGUUGCAACAAACUGCGUUUCUAGCCCUGCUGGGGGCAGAAAAAAGCUGGACGCUGGGACCCUGGAGCCCCCGGGCGGCCAGUGAAUGGAACUCAAGCUGGGGCCAGUCUGAGGGGCUUGGGGUCUGACUCCCAGCUGGGGACAGCAACAGGGAAAUGAACAUUGCUGCAGAUGCAAGACCCUGGCUCUGCCCAGGCCCCAGGAAACCAGCGUCAUUACUAGGCGGCUACUGCCACCUGCUGGUCGGCCGGGGGAGGUCAGGCUUGGAGAGUUGCCAAAAAAGAAGAAAAAGCGUGGGGCUCCUUUAGGGGGAGUUUUGCCACACGGCUGGUGGCAGGUUUCCUGUCAUUCUCAUAGCCUCACUGAUUGGGCCCUGGUUACUCGUCUGCUUUGCCAUCUCCUUCCUGCCCCAGGCUGGAGCACAGCACACUCUUGCCUGAGCAGUCUCUGCUUCCCACCACCUAUAAGGUCCCCCCUAACUCCCUCUUGGGGCACUGAAAGGAAGGAGGCCCUAUAGCCAUGGAAAACCCGUCCCCCCUUCAGUCACUGUAGGCCCUGCCUCCACUGAGGGACUUUGCUGGCACAGCUGCAGUGCCACUGCCAUGCCGCUCUAGUCCCCAUAGCGUAGACAUGCCCUUAUCUCACCCUUUCAGGCAGGUUUUACAGACUUCAAAUCAUUCCUAUGGCUCUUCUAUGACCUUUUCUGAAGUGUGGACACCACAGCUGGUCUCACCAAUGCCCCAUACAAGGCUAAUACCACCUCGCUGCUCCAAUUCAAGCUUCCCCUUGUACCUCCAAGAAUCACACUAGCCCUCUUAGCCACACUAUCACACUGGGAGCACAGUUCCUUAAGGGCCACUUCUCCUUUCCUGCUGCUCGGAGACCCCCUUGCAAUCCCCUUCCCACUUAGCUCAGGGGGUUGCAUGAAGCCCCUGUGAGUGGAUGGCCUGACACUGCUACUCCCCAGAAAUUAAAGCUCUUUCACUCCCAUAAGCAUGGGGCAAUAACUAGCAGCAGAGAGGGAAAAGGCAACUGGACCUCCAGGAGACGGGCAAGCACUUCUGCACUGGCCCCAGGCAUUCACUGACACCAAGGGCUGCUUCUAUCUUCUACUGCUGAGGGAGAAACCUUCCCCUCCUACUGUGCCUGUCUACAGCCUGGGGCUGAGAACGGAGACUGGAGCGGUUUGGAUUGGGACAGACAGGGACCCCCAGGGAGCUGGGCACGCCCUAGGGGAGUCUGGCCGGAAAGGAAAGUCAGGCUGUGCUUCUGCCCUGAAGGAUGCACACUGGACUGUUAACAUUGAUCUUCAAUAACCCCUGGAGCUCCAGGGAAGUGCCAGAAGAUGGGAAGAAAGCUAAUGUUGGGCUAAUAUUCAAAAAGGGUAAACAGAAUGACCCGGGUAAUUAUAGACCCAUCAGCCUGACAUCAAUCCCAGGCAAGAAAAUGGAAUGGCUGCUGUGGGACUUGACUAAUAAAGAAUUAAAGGAGGGUAAUGUAA